GACGAACCGUGCGAACGUUGUUCGGAAUCACUGGGCUUAAAGGGCGCGUAGGCGGUUUGCCAAGUCAGGGGUGAAAUCCUGCAGCUCAACUGUAGAAGUGCCUUUGAUACUGGCGAACUCGAGGGAGGUAGGGGUGGGUGGAACUUCUGGUGGAGCGGUGAAAUGCGUUGAUAUCAGAAGGAACGCCGGUGGCGAAAGCGACCCACUGGAUCUCUACUGACGCUGAGGCGCGAAAGCUAGGGGAGCAAACAGG
rnacentral:rRNA from 1 species